rnacentral:pre_miRNA from 1 species
UCGUGAACCACCUUUCAAGUACCCUUUUGCAUCGGUAUUGGAAUGCGGUUCAUGGGC